UGAUGGUGAUGAGGAGUAUUUUUGAGUAUGCCUUUGAAUCUCUCCCAAUCUUGGUAGAGAUUUUCUCCAUCUUUCUGUCUGAAACUCAAGAUUUAAAUCCUCAAUCG
rfam:Capsicum annuum cultivar Zunla-1 chromosome 3, whole genome shotgun sequence